AUGCUCGCUUCGGCAGCACAUAUACUAAAAUUGGAACGAUACAGAGAAGAUUAGCAUGUAUCUUCUCUUGUGAAGCAUCUGGUUAAAUCUUUUGCCCAUUUUUU
rfam:Pteropus alecto contig9666, whole genome shotgun sequence.